rnacentral:rRNA from 1 species
UACGUAGGGUGCGAGCGUUAAUCGGAAUUACUGGGCGUAAAGCGUGCGCAGGCGGUCCGUUGUGUCUGCGGUGAAAUCCCCGGGCUUAACCUGGGAAUGGCAUUGGAAACUGGCGAGCUUGAGUGCGGCAGAGGGGGGUGGAAUUCCGCGUGUAGCAGUGAAAUGCGUAGAGAUGCGGAGGAACACCGAUGGCGAAGGCAGCCCCCUGGGUCGACACUGACGCUCAGGCACGAAAGCGUGGGGAGCAAACAGG